AUGGAUUGAGAGCUUGCUCUCAAGAAGUUAGCGGCGGACGGGUGAGUAACACGUGGGUAACCUGCCCAUAAGACUGGGAUAACUCCGGGAAACCGGGGCUAAUACCGGAUAACAUUUUGAACUGCAUGGUUCGAAAUUGAAAGGCGGCUUCGGCUGUCACUUAUGGAUGGACCCGCGUCGCAUUAGCUAGUUGGUGAGGUAACGGCUCACCAAGGCAACGAUGCGUAGCCGACCUGAGAGGGUGAUCGGCCACACUGGGACUGAGACACGGCCCAGACUCCUACGGGAGGCAGCAGUAGGGAAUCUUCCGCAAUGGACGAAAGUCUGACGGAGCAACGCCGCGUGAGUGAUGAAGGCUUUCGGGUCGUAAAACUCUGUUGUUAGGGAAGAACAAGUGCUAGUUGAAUAAGCUGGCACCUUGACGGUACCUAACCAGAAAGCCACGGCUAACUACGUGCCAGCAGCCGCGGUAAUACGUAGGUGGCAAGCGUUAUCCGGAAUUAUUGGGCGUAAAGCGCGCGCAGGUGGUUUCUUAAGUCUGAUGUGAAAGCCCACGGCUCAACCGUGGAGGGUCAUUGGAAACUGGGAGACUUGAGUGCAGAAGAGGAAAGUGGAAUUCCAUGUGUAGCGUGAAAUGCGUAGAGAUAUGGAGAACACCAGUGGCGAAAGCGACUUCUGGUCUGUAACUGACACUGAGGCGCGAAAGCGUGGGGGAGCAAACAGGAUUAGAUACGCUGGUAGUCCACGCCGUAAACGAUGAGUGCUAAGUGUUAGAGGGUUCCGCCCUUUAGUGCUGAAGUUAACGCAUUAAGCACUCCGCCUGGGGAGUACGCCGCAAGCUGAACUCAAGGAAUUGACGGGGCCCGCACAAGCGGUGGAGCAUG
rnacentral:rRNA from 1 species